UACUCUUGACAUCCACAGAAGAGACCAGAGAUGGACUUGUGCCUUCGGGAACUGUGAGACAGGUGCUGCAUGGCUGUCGUCAGCUCGUGUUGUGAAAUGUUGGGUUAAGUCCCGCAACGAGCGCAACCCUUAUCCUUGUUUGCCAGCACGUAAUGGUGGGAACUCCAGGGAGACUGCCGGUGAUAAACCGGAGGAAGGUGGGGACGACGUCAAGUCAUCAUGGCCCUUACGAGUAGGGCUACACACGUGCUACAAUGGCGCAUACAGAGGGCUGCAAACUAGCGAUAGUAAGCGAAUCCCAUAAAGUGCGUCGUAGUCCGGAUCGGAGUCUGCAACUCGACUCCGUGAAGUCGGAAUCGCUAGUAAUCGUAGAUCAGAAUGCUACGGUGAAUACGUUCCCGGGCC
rnacentral:rRNA from 1 species